rnacentral:piRNA from 1 species
UAGGGAGCACAAGUAGGUCCCACGGUCC